GAUGAACGCUGGCGGCGUGCCUAAUACAUGCAAGUCGAGCGAACAGAUGAGAAGCUUGCUUCUCUGAUGUUAGCGGCGGACGGGUGAGUAACACGUGGGUAACCUACCUAUAAGACUGGGAUAACUUCGGGAAACCGGAGCUAAUACCGGAUAACAUUUAGAACCGCAUGGUUCUAAAGUGAAAGAUGGUUUUGCUAUCACUUAUAGAUGGACCCGCGCCGUAUUAGCUAGUUGGUAAGGUAACGGCUUACCAAGGCGUCGAUACGUAGCCGACCUGAGAGGGUGAUCGGCCACACUGGAACUGAGACACGGUCCAGACUCCUACGGGAGGCAGCAGUAGGGAAUCUUCCGCAAUGGGCGAAAGCCUGACGGAGCAACGCCGCGUGAGUGAUGAAGGGUUUCGGCUCGUAAAACUCUGUUAUUAGGGAAGAACAAAUGUGUAAGUAACUGUGCACAUCUUGACGGUACCUAAUCAGAAAGCCACGGCUAACUACGUGCCAGCCGCCGCGGUAA
rnacentral:rRNA from 1 species